GACGAACGCUGGCGGCGUGCUUAACACAUGCAAGUCGAACGGAAAGGCCCUGCUUUUGUGGGGUGCUCGAGUGGCGAACGGGUGAGUAACACGUGAGUAACCUGCCCUUGACUUAGGGAUAACUUCAGGAAACUGGGGCUAAUACCGGAUAGGAGCUCCUGCUGCAUGUUGGGGGUUGGAAAGUUUCGGCGGUUGGGGAUGGACUCGCGGCUUAUCAGCUUGUUGGUGGGGUAGUGGCUUACCAAGGCUUUGACGGGUAGCCGGCCUGAGAGGGUGACCGGCCACAUUGGGCCUGAGAUACGGCCCAGACUCCUACGGGAGGCAGCAGUGGGGAGUAUUGCACAAUGGGCGGAAGCCUGAUGCAGCAACGCCGCGUGCGGGAUGACGGCCUUCGGGUUGUAAACCGCUUUCGCCUGUGACGAAGCGUGAGUGACGGUAAUGGGUAAAGAAGCACCGGCUAACUACGUG
rnacentral:rRNA from 1 species